AUGACAGAAGCUCCACUUACAGGCUCCUGAGUAACAGUGCAUAUGCUUAGGUUUGAGAAUAAAAUAUACAAAAAUACAUUAAAUCUAUAGGGACAAAGGAGUAGAGCAGAUGCAGCUAGAGGUUGAGAAGCUUCUGAAAGGAAGCAGCUUGGGAAGUUGGCAGUUAAAAAAGGAAAAGAGGAAGGAGUUGACGGGAAGCCAUUCAAAGCUCAGUCGUUGGGGCUGUGAUAAUCUUUGCAGAUGCUUUCAAAUCAGAAACCUCUUGUCUACCACACAGUAUCAGGGAAGUACAUGAAAAGGAAGAAAAUGCUGGGACUUUGUACCUCUGGACCUCACAUGUUGUUCUUGGAGGUUGAUCGUAAGGACGAAGAUGUUGUAUCUUUUUAGGUCAUGUCCAAAGUAAUGGAGAUGUUCCAGCCUAGUGCAGUGGUCCUACAGUGCGGCUCAGACUCCCUGUCUGGGGAUCGGCUAGGUUGCUUCAAUCUGACCAUCAAAGGACAUGCCAAGUGUGUGGAGUUCGUGAAGAGUUUCAACUUGCCGAUGCUAAUGUUGGGAGGAGGUGGCUAUACCAUCCGUAAUGUCGCUCGGUGCUGGACUUACGAGACAGCUGUGGCCCUGGACACAGAGAUCCCUAAUGAGCUACCAUACAAUGACUACUUUGAAUACUUUGGACCAGAUUUCAAGCUUCACAUCAGCCCUUCCAAUAUGACUAACCAGAACACUAAUGAAUACCUGGAGAAGAUCAA
rnacentral:lncRNA from 1 species